AUUGAACGCUGGCGGCGUGCCUAACACAUGCAAGUCGAGCGGUAACAGGUGUAGCAAUACAUGCUGACGAGCGGCGGACGGGUGAGUAACGCUUGGGAAUCUGCCUAUUAGUGGGGGACAACCCGGGGAAACUCGGGCUAAUACCGCAUACGCUCUACGGAGGAAAGCCGGGGACCGCAAGGCCUGGCGCUAAUAGAUGAGCCCAAGUCGGAUUAGCUAGUUGGUAGGGUAAUGGCCUACCAAGGCGACGAUCCGUAACUGGUCUGAGAGGAUGAUCAGCCACACUGGAACUGAGACACGGUCCAGACUCCUACGGGAGGCAGCAGUGGGGAAUAUUGGACAAUGGGCGCAAGCCUGAUCCAGCCAUGCCGCGUGUGUGAAGAAGGCCU
rnacentral:rRNA from 1 species